rnacentral:rRNA from 1 species
UACGUAGGGAGCAAGCGUUGUCCGGAAUCAUUGGGCGUAAAGCGCACGUAGGCGGAUCUUUUAAGUCAGGGGUGAAAUCCCAAGGCUCAACCUUGGAACUGCCUUUGAUACUGGGGAUCUCGAGUCCGGAAGAGGUUGGUGGAACUGCGAGUGUAGAGGUGAAAUUCGUAGAUAUUCGCAAGAACACCAGUGGCGAAGGCGGCUCACUGGUCCGGUACUGACGCUGAGGUGCGAAAGCGUGGGGAGCAAACAGGG